rnacentral:lncRNA from 1 species
CCCACUAGCAACAAUAACUCGUUGGGCCCAAUCACCGGCUCAAAAUGCUUAAGCCCAGUUAUUAUUAUUAGUGUCUAAGUCUCUUAUAAACCCAAUGACAACCCCAUUCCUAUCCGAUGUGGGAUUAUUGGGGUGUCACAUUAAUAUUUAACCAACUAAAUUAGGCUGUGGAACUUGAUUGCAGUAACUAAAAAAUUUGAAUCAAAGCCUAUAAUAAAUUAAAAUUUGAGAACCAAACCGUCACAAACUUAACAUUUUAA